GACGUAGGAUGCGAGCGUUGUCCGGAUUUAUUGGGCGUAAAGAGCGUGUAGGCGGUCAGGUAGGUCCGUUGUGAAAACUCGAGGCUCAACCUCGAGACGCCGAUGGAAACCAUCUGACUAGAGUCCGGAAGAGGAGAGUGGAAUUCCUGGUGUAGCGGUGAAAUGCGCAGAUAUCAGGAAGAACACCCGUGGCUAAGGCGGCUCUCUAGUACGGUACUGACGCUGAGACGCGAAAGCGUGGGGAGCGAACAGG
rnacentral:rRNA from 1 species